AGCAUAUCAAUAAGCGGAGGAAAAGAAACCAACAGGGAUUGCCCCAGUAACGGCGAGUGAAGCGGCAACAGCUCAAAUUUGAAAUCUGGCCUCCGGGUCCGAGUUGUAAUUUGUAGAGGAUGCUUUUGGCGAGGUGCCUUCCGAGUUCCCUGGAACGGGACGCCAUAGAGGGUGAGAGCCCCGUCUGGUCGGACACCGAGCCUCUGUAAAGCUCCUUCGACGAGUCGAGUAGUUUGGGAAUGCUGCUCAAAAUGGGAGGUAUAUGUCUUCUAAAGCUAAAUAUUGGCCAGAGACCGAUAGCGCACAAGUAGAGUGAUCGAAAGAUGAAAAGCACUUUGAAAAGAGGGUUAAAAAGUACGUGAAAUUGUUGAAAGGGAAGCGCCUAUGACCAGACUUGGGCCCGGUGAAUCAUCCAGCGUUCUCGCUGGUGCACUUUGCCGGGCACAGGCCAGCAUCAGUUUGGCGCGGGGGAAAAAGGUUUUGGGAAUGUGGCUCCCUCGGGAGUGUUAUAGCCCAUUGCGUAAUACCCUGCGCCGGACUGAGGUACGCGCAUCGCAAGGAUGCUGGCGUAAUGGUCAUCAGCGACCCGUCUUGAAACACGGACCAAGGAGUCGUCUUCGUAUGCGAGUGUUCGGGUGUCAAACCCCUACGCGUAAUGAAAGUGAACGCAGGUGAGAGCUUCGGCGCAUCAUCGACCGAUCCUGAUGUUCUCGGAUGGAUUUGAGUAAGAGCAUACGGGGCCGGACCCGAAAGAAGGUGAACUAUGCCUGUAUAGGGUGAAGCCAGAGGAAACUCUGGUGGAGGCUCGCAGCGGUUCUGACGUGCGAAUCGAUCGUCAAAUAUGGGCAUGGGGGCGAAAGACUAAUCGA
rnacentral:rRNA from 1 species